AUACGGAGGGUGCAAGCGUUAAGCGGAAUUACUGGGCGUAAAGCGCUCGUAGGCGGUUUGUUAAGUCGGAUGUGAAAGCCCCGGGCUCAACCUGGGAACUGCAUUCGAUACUGGCAAACUAGAGUAUACUAGAGGCAAGUGGAAUUCCGGGUGUAGCGGUGAAAUGCGUAGAUAUCCGGAGGAACAUCAGUGGCGAAGGCGACUUGCUGGACUAAUACUGACGCUGAGGAGCGAAAGCGUGGGGAGCAAACGGAAUUAGAAACCCCGGUAGUCC
rnacentral:rRNA from 1 species